UGUACCUACGAAGCACACCACCUCACGUCUCCAGGGACUGGGCCACCCUCUUCACCCUGCUGUGAGCUCACGGCUCUGGCUGGUCCCUGCCUGCAGAGGCAGACAAAGCACGCAGAGGCCCUCCUGGCAGCAGGGUGGAGUCUGGAUACACCCGGACGGCCUGGCCUCUCAGUACUUCCUGGCUGGAGAACACGGGUUUUGUUCCCAAUGAAAGAGGACUAGCCCUGUCACUUAGAAAUUUUCCAAAGGAGGCAGAAACUAAAAUAGAAAAAUGUGAGAUAAGCCACCAGUACUAGAGGGAAUGUGUCUUUGAGGCUCAAUGGUUUUCUAUUCACUACUUAUUUCUGACUUCAUUUCUUAAAGAAGUCACAGGGACAGGGGAGUAUGACCAACACUUCUGACUAUGAAGCAGCCACCAGGUGUGCUGGGAAGGGCACAUGUUAGGAAGGCGGACAGCUCUUGACAAGAAUUGGCUUUGGCAAUGGAGACACUGAGACCAGCAAGGCCAGCUAGGCCUAGAGAAUGUGAAGAAACAUGGCGGGAAGUAGACAACAUCAAUAUGCAAAAUCUAUAAAUCGGUAGAGCUGACCCCGUGCAAGCCCGGGGGCACAGAGCCUGGGCGGGCGCACCACGCCCUCUCCUUGCCCCUGCUCGGGGGGCGUGGGGUUGUUCGGAGCCCUCACGGAUUUCUCACUGCUGUAGUGAAAAUGCCCCCCCAAACCUCACAUCUGGGUUUUCUCACUUCUCCACUAUUUCCUGACCCCAAGUCUUCCUCAAGUUGACCUGGUCAACCUGCCCUGUACAAAGGCUGCCGGCCCUCAUUUCCACAGCUGUCAGGACAGCAGGAGACGUGUCUCGUCGCCCAGAACCCCUGCCUCAGCUGUGCUCGAGCCGACCCAAUUCUAGCUCUCCUCACACCCUUAACUGGCCCUGACCACUUUCCAAAUACGACCUUCUCUCUUCCUUCUCUGAAUUCUCCAGUUUCCUAUCGUUGACUGAUGAUCACUGUCUGCUACUUACUACUUUCAGCACUUUAUGAUUGAUUUUCUACCCUUUCUCUCACUUUCCUACGUGGUCAGCAGAUCCUAAAAGCAAAGGCAAAACGUAACCGCACCGGGCACAGCUACUCCUGGAGCGUCCUUGAAGGAUCCGACAUGUUUACAGGGGUGUAAACAAACACUCAUAGUUUAAAACCAUGGGUUGUUUUCCUUCUCCAAAAAUCUAAAACACGUUUUAUACGCUUCUCAAAUUUUGGUGUUAUACAAUAAACAAACUUACACUUUUAAAUAAAA